GGGUCAGUAGGUUGGUCGUGCCACCGGUACGUACUGGUCUCACUGAUUCCUCCUUCCUGAAGAACCGUAAUGCCAUUAAUUUGGUGUUGCGGGGAAACAGGACUGUUACUUUGAGAAAUUUAGAGUGUUUAAAGCAAGCUAACGCUUGAAUACAUUAGCAUGGAAUAAUGAAAUAGGACGAUCGAUCCUAUUUUGUUGGUUUCUAGGAUUGACGUA
rnacentral:rRNA from 1 species